rnacentral:lncRNA from 1 species
AGGGUCAGAGAUGAUGUGGAAUAUGCCCAGGUCUAGCUGAGUCUCCUCCAGGCAACUGGCUUCCUUCUCAGCCUUAUUCACUGUAAUAAGUGUUGCCUAGAAGCCUUUGGGGCCUCAUGCUGGUAAGCAAUUUUCAGAACCAUGAAACCUUGUAGUUUAAAAUGUAAAGAAAAAGAAAAUAUGUUGGCAAAGAUGCAUAAAGCUUGCAACUCAUUUUAUAAUAUUUUGCAGUGUGGAAACUAUGGUUA